rnacentral:rRNA from 1 species
AUACGAAGGGGGCAAGCGUUGUUCGGAAUAACUGGGCGUAAAGCGCACGUAGGCGGAAUGUUAAGUUAGAGGUGAAAUCCCAGGGCUCAACCCUGGAACUGCCUUUAAUACUGGCAAUCUAGAGACCGAGAGAGGUGAGUGGAAUUCCGGGUGUAGAGGUGAAAUUCGUAGAUAUUCGGAGGAACACCAGUGGCGAAGGCGGCUCACUGGCUCGGUACUGACGCUGAGGUGCGAAAGCGUGGGGAGCAAACAGGAUUAGAAACCCUAGUAGUCC